UGUUAGGAAGGUAAGUGAUGCAAGCACCAGGUGGCCAAUGAGAGAAAUGUCAGGGCUGGGGGGGUGAGGAGCAAGGUUGUCCACGCAGUGUCAGACCUCAAGAGUCUGCUUUUCCUCCCAUAUUUUUGAUGUGCAGGGAUGGGAUAAG